rnacentral:ncRNA from 1 species
UAAAUCAUGGGCAAUGAUGUCUGCCUCGAACCGCUUCUCUAUAGAAUGCUGAUGACGUCUAACAUAAU